AACAGCUGAACUGCCACAUUUUGUACAUGAAAUGCGUCUUGACAACAGUACAAAUUAGUGAUGGGACGAACAACACUGGUGCGUCAGCACUGUGCCGAGCACACAAGAGUGAAACCCCGUAUUGGUGCGUGUAUCGCUUUAAGAAAAAAUCAUGUGACCGAUACAGAAAGUGUGUCGAUUGGAUGUGCUGCGCCAAAUUGUGUUUAAAAGGAAACAAACUGUAUUGACAUGUAUUGUUGCUGUGUCUGUUUGACCUCACCUUGUUCAACUUCUGACUUCAUGGAUCGUUCCAAUAAGAAGAAGUUUUCCCCAGUCUGGAAUCAUUUUGAUCUUUUGACGGCAAAUAAGGUGAAGUGUCGGCUCUGCUCCACAGAGCUAUCUUACAUCAAUAAGAGCACUUCAUCAAUGCUGAGGCAUUAUAGAGCUCAGCAUGGCAAUGAAGAAUUGGCAGAUACUCGUGUGAGUACCCCAGUUCCUAACAAGCAAGCAGUGGAUGAGGCUGUGGUCAACAUGAUCAUCAAAGACUGAAAACACAUAUUUUUAGUGUUUGUUUGUAUAUUUCUGUUGCAGUUUGUCAUGUGAUAAUAAACUAACAACUAACAGAAUUAUUUCUAAAAUAUUUGUUAGGGCACAAUCUCUGGAAACCUCUGGAUAUGGAGGUUGAGGAGAACAACUCGACCUCGAAUACUACAGCUGGUUCCAUAGUUGAAGUCCAACGCUACCUGGCUGAAACCAACACACCCAGAGCACAAGAUCCGUUACAAUAUUGGAAAAAUAACCAGAAAACAUAUCCACACCUGUAUCAACUCGCACUUAAAUUUUUAUGCACACCAUCCUCAUCUGUACCCUGUGAGAGAGUUUUUUCUAAGGCAGGGGAACUGAUGUCCAAGAAGAGAAAUCGUCUUGGAGCAAAGACACUACAAAAACUUUUGUUCCUCAAUAAAAGUGUAUGAAUGAAUCCA